rnacentral:rRNA from 1 species
AGCGGCGGACGGGUGAGUAACGCGUGAGCAACCUACCCUUGAGACAGGGAUAACCCUGGGAAACCGGGGCUAAUACCUGAUAUACUCUAUUAGGGCAUCCUGAUGGAGGAAAGGCGAAAGCCGCUCAAGGAUGGGCUCGCGUCCCAUCAGCUAGUUGGUGAGGUAACGGCUCACCAAGGCGACGACGGGUAGCCGGCCUGAGAGGGUGGUCGGCCACACUGGGACUGAGACACGGCCCGGACUCCUACGGGAGGCAGCAGUGGGGAAUCUUCCGCAAUGGGCGAAAGCCUGACGGAGCGACGCCGCGUGAGCGAAGAAGGCCUUCGGGUCGUAAAGCUCGGUAGUGUGGGAAGAAGGGAUGACGGUACCACACGAAAGCCCCGGCUAACUACGUGCCAGCAGCCGCGGUAAGACGUAGGGGGCGAGCGUUGUCCGGAGUUACUGGGCGUAAAGGGCGCGUAGGCGGUUUAGCAAGUCAGGUGUAAAAGACCACGGCUCAACCGUGGAGGCGCACCUGAAACUGCUAGGCUAGAGGGCAGGAAAGGGGAGUGGAAUUCCCGGUGUA